UCGGGAAUUUUGGACAAUGGGCGCAAGCCUGAUCCAGCCAUGCCGCGUGUGGGAAGAAGGCCUUCGGGUUGUAAACCACUUUUGUCAGGGAAGAAACGGCCUAAUCUAAUACAUUGGGUUAAUGACGGUACUAUUUAUAAGGUCCGGCUAACUACGUGCCAGCAGCCGCGGUAAUACGUAGGGACCAAGCGUUGUUCGGAUUUACUGGGCGUAAAGGGCGCGUAGGCGGCAAUUCAAGUCAUCUGUGAAAUCUCCGGGCUUAACUCGGAACGGUCAGAUGAUACUGCUUUGCUAGAGUGCAGAAGGGGCAAUCGGAAUUCUUGGUGUAGCGGUGAAAUGCGUAGAUAUCAAGAGGAACACCUGAGGUGAAGACGGUUGCUGGGCUGACACUGACGCUGAGGCGCGAAAGCCAGGGGAGCAAACGGGAUUAGAUACCCCCGUAGUCCCUGAGCGGGCUGGCAAGGCGCAU
rnacentral:rRNA from 1 species